GACGAACGCUGGCGGCGUGCUUAACACAUGCAAGUCGAACGGAAAGGCCCUGCUUUUGUGGGGUGCUCGAGUGGCGAACGGGUGAGUAACACGUGAGUAACCUGCCCUUGACUUUGGGAUAACUUCAGGAAACUGGGGCUAAUACCGGAUAGGAGCUCCUGCUGCAUGGUGGGGGUUGGAAAGUUUCGGCGGUUGGGGAUGGACUCGCGGCUUAUCAGCUUGUUGGUGGGGUAGUGGCUUACCAAGGCUUUGACGGGUAGCCGGCCUGAGAGGGUGACCGGACACAUUGGGACUGAGAUACGGCACAGACUACUACGGGAGGCAGCAGUGGGGAAUAUUGCACAAUGGGCGGAAGCCUGAUGCAGCAACGCCGCGUGCGGGAUGACGGCCUUCGGGUUGUAAACCGAUUUCGCCUGUGACGAAGCGUGAGUGACGGUAAUGGGUAAAGAAGCACCGGCUAACUACGUG
rnacentral:rRNA from 1 species